rnacentral:rRNA from 1 species
AUGGUUGUAACUUCCAGAACAGGUUAUGCUUUUGAGUUUCCCCAUCAUUCGAGCUUUUGGCGCUUGAUUUCAUUUGUGAUUUGGAAAUUUACAUGCUUUUUGUGCCGAGAUUUGGAUUUUGACAACAUCAAUCUAAUAGUCAACUAUAUAGUGGAUGAGAAUAUGUGGCUCUCGGGUGCCACACACCCGUGUAUGAAUAUAGUAUUAAAAAAUACCAGGAAAUUUAAAAAGUAUAUGGAAGUUUGGGAUAUCAAACCUGGGUGGCAAUUGUACACCGGUGUUCAGUUUCGUGCGGAAUGGGUGCCGGUGGUGUUCUCGGUAAAAAAAGUCAAAAAGAUUCUAUGA